UACGAAGGGGGCUAGCGUUGCUCGGAAUCACUGGGCGUAAAGCGCACGUAGGCGGCUUUCUAAGUCAGGGGUGAAAUCCUGGAGCUCAACUCCAGAACUGCCUUUGAUACUGGAGAGCUUGAGUCCGGAAGAGGUGAGUGGAACUGCGAGUGUAGAGGUGAAAUUCGUAGAUAUUCGCAAGAACACCAGUGGCGAAGGCGGCUCACUGGCCCGGUACUGACGCUGAGGCACGAAAGCGUGGGGAGCAAACAGG
rnacentral:rRNA from 1 species